rnacentral:lncRNA from 1 species
AUGCCGCCGAGUUCUUCGCCGACGGUGCCGCAGGCCCGCAGCGCAGCAUAUCCUGUGGCGGCGCCGUCCGCGUUGAGUGUCUGGUUCGCCUACGCCGACCUCCUGUCACUGGGGCCAGCGCUUCUGGCCGAGCCAUGGGCCAUGGCUAGCUGCCUCCUCGAGCUCACGCUCAGAUGGAGCGCUGCUGAAUCUUCACUCUUCUUGCUAGUGAAUGGCAUUUGCAAUGAGCUGAGCCCCUGCAAGUUGAACGGCAUGGUGAUCGUUGCUCUUAAGUCAGAGAUCCUGUUCCCCUUAGAGCAGCUCCAGUGUGCACCUAAAAUCGAUUUCAACGUGAAAAAACCGAACUAUGCACACUGUGGGAAGCGAACCGUUGUGAGGGGGAAGGGAAAUGUGGGAUUAAGAUUUUUUUCAUGGGUCCCACCCAAAAUCGAUAUUAACGCUGUAGGGGUCGAAUCAAAU